rnacentral:rRNA from 1 species
CAGCAGCCACGGUAAUACGAAGGGCGCAAGCGUUAAUCGGAAUUACUGGGCGUAAGCGUGCGUAGGCGGUUUCUUAAGUCUGCUGUGAAAUCCCCGGGCUCAACCUGGGAAUGGCAGUGGAUACUGGGAGGCUAGAGUGUGUCAGAGGAUGGUGGAAUUCCCGGUGUAGCGGUGAAAUGCGUAGAGAUCGGGAGGAACAUCAGUGGCGAAGGCGGCCAUCUGGGACAACACUGACGCUGAGGCACGAAAGCGUGGGGAGCAAACAGGAUUAGAUACCCCUGUAGUCCCUGUCUCUUAUACA